GGUCACCCAGGUGAAGGUAUGGCAUAGCUGCAUAGGAGGUUGUCUUCCCAACGAUGUCUGGGCCGGAGCAGCCUGGAGGCAUCAAAGCCAGCUCCUUGCCUCAUGGUGGUUUCCUUGCCAGAGGAUCACCAAUCAACUACUAACUGCCUGAACCUGGUCAUCUUACAAGAUCUGAUGAAAGUAUGCCACAAGAAAGCACUGUUUAAGCAAAAAAGUUCUUGAUGCUGGUACAAAUGCCUCCAAGGCUGUGAGCCUUCCAGAAAGAGAAACUAUAUUUACAGUGACUAUUGUGGGGAAAAAAACAAACCAAAAAACACCCUGACAUAUGUUAAGUGGUGUAUGUCAAGUGUAGGAUGGAAACAAACCUUUCUAAGCUCAAGCCUGAGACUUGCAUGGUGUUGUGCCAUACCGUCCAAAAAAACAGCACUAAUGAAUCACACCAGUUCAGAAGGAUCCUUACAAAAUGAUGUAAUUCUUCAUCCUACUGACAUUAUUGAUUAUCUUUAAGAAGACACUUACCAGGAUAAAUUACUUGUUGUUAUCUGCGAACCAGACUUCUCACAUUCUUGGACACCAAAUAAAUACUCUUAGAUUUGUUGGUUAUUUCAAGAUCAAUAUACAUAGCCUCAUAAUAGCAGAAAAUUAGUUUGUCAAUAGAAAUUGACCAGUGCACAAUCCCAAAAUUGCAGUUAUGCAGAUUGCAGCUACUUUGCGUGUAUGUGUGUAUAAAUGUGUUUUGGUUCAAGAGGAUUCCCACUCUGACAUGUCUAAUCAUGAAAGUCAAAGUCUUCUACUCCAUUGCAAGCCAAAUCUGUGAUUACUAAAUUUGGUAGAAUCGAGGAAAUCAAACUCUGAGAUGAUAUGGUCAGAGGCUUUCAAAGUACGUAUUAUCUUGAUCUCCCUGUCCUGAAAAAAAAAUCAAAUACAUGGCAAGAGUAUU
rnacentral:lncRNA from 7 species